AUUAAUUGCUACACAGUGUUUCACGCUUUCAAAGCGAUCUUCAGGCGAUACCUGAGUAUAUACCUGAGAGUAUCGCCUGAAGAUCGCUUUGAAAGCGUGAAACACUGUGUAGCGAUU